rnacentral:lncRNA from 1 species
AAAAUCAGGUUCUUCAAUUCGUUCAAUUUUUUUAGAUUCUUUGGGUCAUUAUAAAUAAAAAAAGGUCAAAAUAUAAAUAAACUGUUUCCACUUGCGUCUCAGUUUUCUUUUUUCUGUUAUCAUUUCUCUGAUUUUUAUUUUGUUUAAUUUACAAUAAAAUACAAGUUGUUAAAAGUUAAAAAGUUUGUCAGUUAUAUUUAAAAUAUACUUACAUGGUCCAGAAUUGUAAAUAACGGUGCCGGUGGUAGAAGAAUCCGUGGAAUUGUCGAAAUGACGUAAUGGUGAUCUAGUACUACUCCUGCCAGGCACUGGUGUUGGAGGAGACAUCUGAUUAGUACUACUCACAGGAGCAUUUGGGAUAGUUUCGUCAAUCACAAGGUUACCUUCACAAGAGAUAACAAUUAACUGCUGAUAUUUAUUAGACCAACUGUAGCGUCGCCCCCAUUAGGUAAUUUUUAUUCCGAUUCGUUUUUUCGGAGUCGAAAAAUUCUCUAAACAAUUUUUUUUAAUUCAAAAAAUCAGGUUCUUCAAUUCGUUCAAUUUUUUUAGAUUCUUUGGGUCAUUAUAAAUAGAAAAGGUCAAAAUAUAAAUAAACUGUUUCCACUUGCGUCUCAGUUUUCUUUUUUCUGUUAUCAUUUCUCUGAUUUUUAUUUUAUUUAAUUUACAAUAAAAUACAAGUUGUUAAAAGUUAAAAAGUUUGUCAGUUAUAUUUAAAAUAUACUUACACGGUCCAGCAUUAUAGAUGCCUGUGCCGGUGUUCGAAGUAUCCAUUGAAGUACUUGGUGUUCGAGGCGACACCCGAGUACUACCAUCUACAAUUGUCUCA